AAAGGCGUAACGAUUUGGGCACUGUCUCAACAACAGACUCGGUGAAAUUGUAAUUCCGGUGAAGAUGCCGGAUACCUGCGACAGGACGGAAAGACCCCAUGGAGCUUUACUGUAGCUUGACAUUGGGUCUUGGUACUACAUGUACAGGCUAGGUGGGAGGCUUUGAAACCAGGACGCCAGUUUUGGCGGAGCCAUCCUUGGGAUACCACCCUUGUAGUACUGGGACUCUAACCAUAGGCCAUGAAUCUGGUCUUGGGACACUGUCAGGUGGGCAGUUUGACUGGGGCGGUCGCCUCCCAAAAGG
rnacentral:rRNA from 1 species